rnacentral:rRNA from 16 species
CCCACCGAGUUUAAGCAUAUAAAUAAGCGGAGGAGAAGAAACUUAUAAGGAUUCCCCUAGUAACGGCGAGAGAGCCGGGGA